UGUGCAAAGCUUUAAAACCUUAGCAUAAGCAAUGCAAAUAUAAAUAAGCCACUGUCCAGGGAUAUAAAGCUCAAUAGAGGUUUACUUAUAUUUGCAGGUUAAAUACUGAUCAAAGUUCUAAAGUGCAGGUGGUGUUGGUGAGACAUAGCUGGCAGAAAUAUGGUCAGAUGGAGCAAGCAGGGAUAUGUCAGGUGGAAAGUAGCAGGACAGCUGUUUCAAACUAUUUAACUAAAAGUUAAAGCUAUACUAAAAGCUAAAGCUGGAAUUUUAUGGCGAACCAUUACCACAGCAUAUGCUACCACCUUCACCUCGCCAGACCACCUCCUGCUUGGCAAGGGAUCUGUUUAACAUCUAUAACAUGGCCAUAGUCCUAUAUAUAUAUCAUACACUUAUAACGCUACAAAGUUCUUUCAUCUCAUUCAUUGCACAUCCAGUAAUUCUGUUAGUGGGACUGGGGUUUGGGAAAGAGGGGAGGGUGUAAAGGGGAAAUUCUAGAUAUUUUAGGGGAUGAUGCCAGCUGGGAUGUUCUUGGAGCUCACAAAGACAGAGUUGAAGUUGGUGAGUAUAACUCUGGGAAUUUAAAGGGGAGCUUCUAGAUGUUUUAGGGGAUAGCGCCAGCUGGAAUGUUCCGGGAGUUCACAGUAACUUGGAUGAAAUUGAAAUUGGUGAGUAUAACUUUUCAUGUUUGUACAUUUAUCUCUAUAUUAUUGUGCGUGUACUUUAAAAUUACAAUAUUGUUUAUAGGUGUUGCUGUCCAUGAGGGAUCAGAAGAGCACAGUGGAGUUUGGAGCUUAAUCAGAACGUGACGGAAUUCUCCAAGGACGCAUAUGUAAAUCCUGCAGAGGAAGAUGAGGACGAUUUUUUACUCUUCAUUUGGAGCCAGCUAAGAAAGAAUCAGAAGACACAGAGCAGCAGCCAGUGGGCAAUUUGGAAGGCCCUUAGCAGCAGCAGCAGCAAAUAGGAGAUACACAGCUGGCAGGGCCAUCAUGUCAAGAAAUUUUGUACAAAAUCUAGACAAUCACAUUGUCACAUUAAACUUAAUGGAGUAUGUGCCUAUCGUACAUACUAAUCUUUUUGACCCCCUCCCCUUCUUGCCUUCUGUAUCCCCCAUUUAAGUGUUUUAAAAUAAAGAAUAUU